rnacentral:lncRNA from 1 species
GAAAAUCAAAAACCCUUUUUUUUCAACAACUCAUUUUUUUAAAAAAAAAAUACUAUUCCACCCAUUUUCAUUUUUAUAAAAUAGGGGCCAAACGGGGGCUAAAUGUUCAUUUUCUACCUACCAAAACGUUUUGAAUAUGGUAUAAAAUAAUUUGAUUGAGGAAAUAUUAAAAACAACCCUUCAAUUUCUAACAAAUGGAGAGACACUCCUAAUCCUAUUUGUUUGUUUUGUUGUUGGGUCAAUUUGAGCAAGAAUUACUUCGAAUCAGGUUUAAAAAUUAUAAUAAACCUUUUUUUCAAGUUCUAAUACGUUGUAUUAGAUGACUACAAAAAUAUAAUUUCAGUUUGUAAAUUUUGUUUAUUUUUUCUCGUCCAGCAUUUGAAGUGUUGUCACUUGAAUAGUUCGGAAAUCGGAAUCUAAUAUUUGAUGAUUUAAGUGAAUAGUUCUAUCAAAUGUCCAUGUAAGAGCCCUAUUAUUUUAUUAUGUUUCAGGAAAAGUAAAAUUUGCUGCAUUUAACCAGAGAGUUAGAUUUGGUAAAAAAAUAUAAAGAAAGUGGGGUUCAUGUAUAUUAUUUCACCAUUCAACAACCAGGAAGAAGUUGGCUUUUUUGGCAAAGUCUUUUAGGCCAUCGAACUCUAUAAAUUCGCCGCAGUGUUGCUUCAAUUUUCCUUCCCUUUCCUCUUCUCUUCCUCCGUUUUUGGGUCUGUCUUAGGGUUUGUUUAAACCUGAGAAAGAUUUUUCUUUUUGUCUCUUCAUUUUAUAAUUAUUUUCCAUUAUUUUUACCCAUUUUCUUUCCUUUUUCUGAUGGAAAUUCUUUGAAUGUACAAAGGACCCUUUUGUCAGAUGUGAAUCCCAUAUUAAGUGUUUUAGAAGAUAAUCAGGUAUGAAUUUUAGCUUUUACUUUUGUUAUUUUCUUCACUGCAUAGACUAGAAAAAUACCUUGCAGUGCUAUUGAAAUUAAGCUAAAAAGCAUUCUUUUUUACACACUUCUCUGAAGAUCUGUACAUCAAUAAUUGCUGAAUCUUCUGUUUUUUCAUGUCAAAACAUGCAAAUUUUGCGACUAUAUGGACAAUUCCCUUGUGGGUUUUCUUCAAUAUUAUAAAUUUUCAUGCGCAUAUUUCUGAAUUUUCUGUGAUGUUAUACAUAUAACCAUAUGUUUGUGUGGACUUUCUUGAAUUUGAUGAUAACAUUAUUUAGUACUGAUUUGUCGGUUAAUUGUGAGUGCAUGAUUUUUUCGGUUUCUGUUUAGAUGUUGAAAAGUUGUGUGUCUUAAUAGUUUUUUCGUAGAUUGCCACGAAAAAUAGAAAUAGAUUGUUGUUUGUUAUGUGGUCAUCAAAACCUUUAGCACCCUUUUUUGUGGUUGUUCUCAAGUCAAACGGGUUUUCAAGAUUCAUGGGGCCAGAUUCAUAUUUUCAAUCAACAAGAUUUUAUGUUGGUAGGAGAGCUUUUCUGGGCCCAUUCUAUUUUGGCACGUCGGGUUGGUGGGUGGGGACAGCCCGAGGGUCCGGUUGGUGGGUUGGGGAAGGCUGUAAUGAAAUCGAAGGGCUGUUUCGCCCACCUAAAUUUUCAGCUGAUUUUUCAAUAAUUUCUAUGGAUUUAGAGUAUACAGUAUUAUGUAUAAAGUUUUUCGGAUGGUCUUUGUGUCUCUGAAUCUUGGUCUCUUCCUUUUUCUGAUUUCCACAAAAUCUAAUAUCGACCUUAAGUUAAAUUUGCACAAAGUUGUGCAUCCUUUUUUAGUUGCUAAUGAUGCAAAGCUCUUAUUUCUUAAAGAUAGCUAGGGAAUUUUGUAGGUGACUUCUAUAAGGAUCAAUGUUGAUGUACAGGGGAGAGGUUUACGGAACUCUCCAGAAUACAUAUAUGGGUGGGCUCCAUAUGAAUAAAAUAUUGUAAAAAAAUAAAAAUAAAAAUACUAUCCAUCCGCCAUUGUGAGCAUUCUAGAAGGGUUCUGUGAACCUCUCCCCUGUACCCCAAGCAAAACCCCUUCUAUAAAUGUCUCUCUCUUUCUCUGUGAUGGUGACCAUCAAAUCAAAUAGUUGUUAGUACUUAGUAGUUGCCGAGUCGGACCCUUAACAUAAAACAAUAUGGAAGGAAUUGAAUUUGGUGCAUUUAUGUAUCUUUUGUUUUCCCAAGAUUUGAAUUUCAGGCUGCAAUGAGUUAUUACUGAUCCACAGGAGACUGUGUUAUUGCUUUAAGACAUCUAGGCAUGUUAAGCACGUUGUACUCAAUAUGAUGCACUUGAUUUGAUCGCAUAAUGGGCUUUUNNNN